UAGCCAUAACUGAAAGAAAAAUAUAAGAUCUCAAUGUUUAUGAAUUGAUUAAGCCUAAAGACUUGAACUUUAGUCUAAAAGUUUUUUCACUAUUUUAUAUGAAUUAACAGCCUCUACUUCUAAUUCGAGAAAUUAUUUUAAUCCCUUAGCAGGUAAUAGAAUCCACACAAACUGCAUACAAGCCCAAGGAUGGCUCGAUCAACCC
rnacentral:lncRNA from 1 species